rnacentral:rRNA from 1 species
GAUGAACGCUGGCGGCGUGCUUAACACAUGCAAGUCGAACGGAAAGGCUCCUGCUUGCAGGGGUGCUCGAGUGGCGAACGGGUGAGUAACACGUGGGUGAUCUGCCCUGCACUUCGGGAUAAGCCUGGGAAACUGGGUCUAAUACCGGAUAGGACGAUCGUCUGGAUGCCAGUGUGUAAAGUUUUUCGGUGGGGGAUGAGCUCGCGGCCUAUCAGCUUGUUGGUGGGGUAAUGGCCUACCAAGGCGUCGACGGGUAGCCGGCCUGAGAGGGUGUACGGCCACAUUGGGACUGAGAUACGGCCCAGACUCCUACGGGAGGCAGCAGUGGGGAAUAUUGCACAAUGGGCGCAAGCCUGAUGCAGCGACGCCGCGUGGGGGAUGACGGCCUUCGGGUUGUAAACUCCUUUCGCUAGGGACGAAGCGCAAGUGACGGUACCUGGAGAAGAAGCACCGGCUAACUACGUG